rnacentral:rRNA from 1 species
AUGUUAGGGGGUGCAGGAUUGUGGUGUGGGCGCGCGCAUGCAUGCGGAGCAGCUGCAGGAGAUUGGCUCGAGCAUGAGCUUGAGCUCGUCUCGGGCAUGGCGAGGCAAGACGCACCAAGGCCACGGGCUUGCAAUCGACGCGGCCGUGCACGUCGAGGUGUAGCAGUGAAGGUGCAGCAAGUGCGGCAUGAGCAACGAAGCCAGCGGGCAUGUGCACAAGCAAGAAACAGAGAAAGAGAACAGAGGAGCAUAUCAGAGCGUACGAGAAGGACAGCGAGCGAGCUCGUCGGAGGAAACUCCGGCGACGAAAAGCCACGGCGCAGGGGUGCGAUCGAUGCACGUGACAAACCCGCACUCCUACGUGCCACUCACAGCAUCGAACGACGAUAG